AAUAUGCAGAUUUUGUUCCUAUCCAACAUAGAUCACAGCUAUUUAGGAAGGACACUGGGGGAGAAGGGCUGGAACAAGAGGGAUCCUUCUGGCGUCCAGAAGUCGUGCUACAGUCAGCAGCUCCGUGCCCUGGACACCUGCCAUUGUCCCUCCCCUUGUUCAAGGGAAAGCCCGGCAAUAAGCAAAGUGGGGAGAAAAGAACUUGGCCAUGGCUUACAAAAAAUGGUAUACCCAUAAUCCUGGGUGCUACAAAGCUGUGCAUUUUCAUCCUCUGGCCCCAUCACCACCCAUUCAAGGACAAAGCUUCCCUCCCCUCCCCACCACCGGGGGGCCAAUUCAUCUUUCCCUCCUUCAAAAGGCGGGGAGUGCAAAUGUCCGGCAACCACUCACUGUCUUGCCACAAGAUGGCUCCAGAAGCUUCGAGCUGCCCUGAUGCCUGACAUGCUGAGUCCUCCCCGCUCAGUCUUAUUCCAGACACUGCAGGAUGUGCCAUACCACCCACAAAAUGUCCACCCAGGCAGAAAAGAACAUUCCACUACAAAAAGAAGGAGAAGAAAAAGAGAGAGAAAGAGAAAGAAAGAGAGAGAGAAAGAAAGAAAGAGAAGAAGAAGAGAGAGAAAGAGAAAGAAAGAAAGAAAGAACGAAAGAAAAAGAAAGAAAGAAAGAAAAAGAAAGAAAACGAAAAACUUGGAAAUCUGAUCUUAAAGAUAGACAAUUUAGGCGCUCCAGGCGGAGACGUUUGCCAGAGAGAAUGACAAUCCACUCUCCUGACUGUCCCCGGGGAAAACCUUUACAGACUUCUCUCUGGUGGGGCUCCUUCCUGGGAGGAAAAGAAGAUCGAACAAAGGCUUUGCUCCCUCACUCCUACGGGAGUCAUUCUUAGAAAUAAUAAAUGAAGUCAGAUUGAGAGACUUAAUAAAGUCCUCUAAUACAGUUA